rnacentral:rRNA from 1 species
GAUGAACGCUGGCGGCGUGCCUAAUACAUGCAAGUCGAGCGAACAGACGAGGAGCUUGCUCCUCUGACGUUAGCGGCGGACGGGUGAGUAACACGUGGAUAACCUACCUAUAAGACUGGGAUAACUUCGGGAAACCGGAGCUAAUACCGGAUAAUAUAUUGAACCGCAUGGUUCAAUAGUGAAAGACGGUUUUGCUGUCUCUUAUAGAUGGAUCCGCGCCGCAUUAGCUAGUUGGUAAGGUAACGGCUUACCAAGGCAACGAUGCGUAGCCGACCUGUGAGGGUGAUCGGCCACACUGGAACUGAGACAGGGUCCAGACUCCUACGGGAGGCAGCAGUAGGGAAUCGUCCGCAAUGGGCGAAAGCCUGACGGAGCAACGCCGCGUGAGUGAUGAAGGUCUUCGGAUCGUAAAACUCUGUUAUGAGGGAAGAACAAAUGUGUAAGUAACUAUGCACGUCUUGACGGUACCGAAUCAGAAAGCCACGGCUAACUACGUG